rnacentral:rRNA from 1 species
CAGUAGCCACGGUAAUACAGAGGGUGCGAGCGUUAAUCGGAUUUACUGGGCGUAAAGCGUGCGUAGGCGGCUUUUUAAGUCGGAUGUGAAAUCCCUGAGCUUAACUUAGGAAUUGCAUUCGAUACUGGGAAGCUAGAGUAUGGGAGAGGAUGGUAGAAUUCCAGGUGUAGCGGUGAAAUGCGUAGAGAUCUGGAGGAAUACCGAUGGCGAAGGCAGCCAUCUGGCCUAAUACUGACGCUGAGGUACGAAAGCAUGGGGAGCAAACAGGAUUAGAUACCCCUGUAGUCCCUGUCUCUUAUAA